GGAGAGGGAAAGAAAUGUGCUCGGAGGUUGGUGCAGCAAGAUGCUACGGGAAACCAACGAUGUCAAGGUUCGGAACUAAUUUCCAAAUGGGUUUGGGCAUACCCUUUUGUUGUUUUUAAAAAUCUCGCGAGGAAGACUAUAAAAUCCCAUUCACAAUCAGGCACGAACUUCUUUCUAAUGGUUUGCCAGUACAGUCUCUAUAAAAUCACAUCCAAAGUCCAUACUCGCUUUCCAGUACCAUCCUGCUAUCAUCUGGACCUUACGUAUUCCACGAAAUAUUCAGGGAACUAGAACAGUGAUACUUUUAUUUUCUCUUAUUCGUUUGAAACUUCACUAUUACUCUUCUCUUUGGAUUUUAAAGACGUUUCAGCCUUCAAGAGUCCUAUGGCAAAAAGCAGCCAGCAGUUUAGAGGCCCUCAAAAAUAGGCCAGAGUCUAGCUGCCUGUAGGAAAGGUAAGGAGAGAGAAUGAGGGAGGAGAUACCCAAGGUUCUGGUCAAAAGACCAUAAAGUACACUGCCUUCAGUAUCAUUCAGGGCCCUCGUGGACUCCACCUUACCCGACUUCUCCCAGCGUCCAUUCCUUCAUCUCCACAGACUGUUGCUGACUCUAUAUCCUUGCUUCUCAGUUUAUUCCUGGUCUUUCUGUACAAUAACUUCAUGAUCUUCAAGAUCUGGUGGAGCCAGAACUUUUCCUUCACUGUAUCUUUCCACCGCUCCCAGUCACAUCUCUCCCACAAUUUUCUGAUAUGCAACUGAAUAAUGUCUACAUCCUUUACGUGGGGACUAAAUUGUACAGUAAAUAAUAUGACUGGCCUCUGAGGGUAUGUUUGACUUUCCAGCCAAAUUGUAAACUGUGAGAGAAUAAAGAGCAUUUCUCAGUAGUCUUCCUAUACCUCUUACACUUUUAGUACAGUGCCAGUCCCACAAGGAACGGUGAGUUCUUUUGAAGUAAAUUUUCUCUACUUUAUGUCCUUCAGAAGGACGGUGGACUGGUAAGAUACUUGCUUUAUGUUGUUUCUCUAAGACCUGUUGUCUUUUACUUAGUUUUAUUGUUUAAACACACUUUUAGACAAUAAAGAAUUCUUGAGAAAAGCAAUAAUGAACCAUAAUUUACAUUUAAAAACUAAACCACCAGAGUUAAUAAAGGAAGAAAAAUUGUCAGCGGGUAACAACAGUUGUUGAGUUUACAAUAGCACAAUCCUCUGUUUUCUUCUACAUGCUGAUUUUUAAUGCAAAAUGUUAAAUACAGAAAUAAUGAGAGGGAAAUCCUUGAAAUAGCUGGGGUUAUCAUUAUAUUCUCAACUUUGCGAUUUUAAAAAAUGCCCAAGGUGUUUUACUUAUUCAAUAAUGAAUGCCCUAUCACACAUGAGGAGAGUCUCUAGCUAGUUGCUUCUUCAAAGUUUUUUUUUCCAAACAGGUACUGUAUUGUAGACCAACUGUACAUCCACAUCGUAGAAAUUCUACAUAAAGGAUAAUAUCUGAGCUACUGAUGCUUACAAGAUGGAGAAACACAUUUAUAUUACACUAGAGGCCCAUUGCACAAACUUUGUGCACUGGUAGGGUCCCUAGCAGCUGGCUGUGGACAGCGGGGUACUCCCUGCCUUUCCCAGGCUGGCCUCGCCCCCUGGCCAAAUUCCGGGAAAAACUCCAGGUUGGUUGAGGGGACAAUUUGCAUACUAUGCUUUUAUUAUAUAGGAUGUGGAUAAUUCCAUCCAGCAUGAUGUAAUGGAAACAGUAGGGUCUUUGGUGUCAGACUGAAGUUUGAAAUCUGUUUCUGUCUCUCUCUAGUUGUAUGGCUUAGAGCAAGACAGCUAAUAUCCCUCUGGUCAUCACAUUCCUCAUCUGUGAAAUAGCAAUCAUGAUGACGAUCUAAGAUGAUGUGAGGAUGACAUAGAAUACGCCCCUUCAUGCCCAUCUCAGAACAAACACAAUCUGCAUUCAGAACAGGACCCUUUACAAGUUGAAUGGAGUUAUUUUGGAGAACUUUUUUAGCAACAAUAGAAGUGAUCACUCUUCUAUAACCUGGUAUAAAUUUGUUGAGGUUCACAUCUCAUGAGUGAGGAGAAACCUGGAAUCAAGAAGGAGACAGUCUUAAACAUAUAAUGAUGCAGUGAUAUGGAUAUUCCCAAUACUAACAAAGUUAAGACCCUCAAAGACAAAAAAUAUUUUUUGCAUGUACCUGCCGAGUUUUCCCAGCACCAUUUAUUAAAGAGACUGUCUUUAC